rnacentral:misc_RNA from 1 species
AUUUCGGUACGUAAAGUUCUUUUAUUAGGGAAGAAAAGAUGGUGGAAAAACCAUUAUGACGGUACCUAAUGAAUAAGCCCCGGCUAACUAUGUGCCAGCAGCCGCGGUAAUACAUAGGGGGCAAGCGUUAUCCGGAAUUAUUGGGCGUAAAGGGUGCGUAGGCGGUUAAAUAAGUUUAUGGUCUAAGUGCAACGCUCAACGUUGUGAUGCUAUAAAAACUGUUUAGCUAGAGUUGGAUAGAGGCAAGUGGAAUUCCGUGUGUAGUGGUAAAAUGCGUAAAUAUACGGAGGAACACCAGAAGCGAAGGCGGCUUGCUGGGUCUUAACUGACGCUGAGGCACGAAAGCGUGGGGAGCAAACAGGAUUAGAUACCCUGGUAGUCCACGCCCUAAACGAUGAGUACUAAACGUUGGAUAAAACCAGUGUUGAAGUUAACACAUUAAGUACUCCGCCUGAGUAGUACGUACGCAAGUAUGAAACUUAAAGGAAUUGACGGGACUCCGCACAAGCGGUGGAUCAUGUUGUUUAAUUCGAAGGUACCCGAAAAAACCUCACCAGGUCUUGACAUGCUUUUGCAAAGCUGUAGAAAUCACAGUGGAGGUUAUCAGAAGCACAGGUGGUGCAUGGUUGUCGUCAGCUCGUGUCGUGAGAUGUUGGGUUAAGUCCCGCAACGAGCGCAACCCUUGUUGUUAAUUGCCAUCAUUAAGUUGGGGACUUUAGCAAGACUGCCAAUGAUAAAUUGGAGGAAGGUGGGGACGACGUCAAAUCAUCAUGCCCCUUAUGACCUGGGCUACAAACGUGAUACAAUGGCUGUUACAAAGGGUAGCUAAAGCGUAAGCUUCUGGCGAAUCUCAAAAAAGCAGUCUCAGUUCGGAUUGAAGUCUGCAACUCGACUUCAUGAAGUUGGAAUCGCUAGUAAUCGCGAAUCAGCAUGUCGCGGUGAAUACGUUCUCGGGGUUUGUACACACCGCCCGUCAAACCACGAAAGUUGGCAAUACCCAAAGCCGGUGGCCUAACUUGAGCAAUCAAGAAGGAGCCGUCUAAGGUAGGGUUGAUGAUUGGGGUUAAGUCGUAACAAGGUAUCCCUACCGGAAGGUGGGGAUGGAUCACCUCCUUUCUAAGGAUAAAGUUAUCAUCUUCAGUUUUGAGAGACUUAAGAAAGUUUUUCAUUUUUUAAGAUUCGGGCCUAUAGCUCAGCUGGUUAGAGCAGCCUGAUAAGCGUGAGGUCGGUGGUUCAAGUCCAUUUUGGCCCACCAAAAUAGGUCACAUCUUAAAAAAGCUCUUGAAAAGUAG